rnacentral:rRNA from 1 species
GUGCCAGCAGCCGCGGUAAUACGUAGGGGGCAAGCGUUGUCCGGAAUUACUGGGCGUAAAGCGCGUGUAGGCGGGACGGUAAGUCGGACGUGAAAGGCUCGGGCUCAACCCGAGAAGGCCGUUCGAAACUGCCGUUCUUGAGGGUCGAAGAGGAGAGUGGAAUUCCUGGUGUAGCGGUGAAAUGCGUAGAGAUCAGGAGGAACACCCGUGGCGAAGGCGGCUCUCUGGUCGGCCUCUGACGCUGAGACGCGAAAGCGUGGGGAGCGAACGGGAUUAGAUACCCCCGUAGUCC